AAUCCAUAGGUUAAUGAGGCGAACCGGGGGAACUGAAACAUCUAAGUACCCCGAGGAAAAGAAAUCAACCGAGAUUCCCCCAGUAGCGGCGAGCGAACGGGGAGGAGCCCAGAGCCUGAAUCAGCAUGUGUGUUAGUGGAAGCGUCUGGAAAGGCGCGCGAUACAGGGUGACAGCCCCGUACACAAAAGCGCAUGUGCUGUGAGCUCGAUGAGUAGGGCGGGACACGUGGUAUCCUGUCUGAAUAUGGGGGGACCAUCCUCCAAGGCUAAAUACUCCUGACUGACCGAUAGUGAACCAGUACCGUGAGGGAAAGGCGAAAAGAACCCCGGCGAGGGGAGUGAAAAAGAACCUGAAACCGUGUACGUACAAGCAGUGGGAGCACCCUUUGGGUGUGACUGCGUACCUUUUGUAUAAUGGGUCAGCGACUUAUAUUCUGUAGCAAGGUUAACCGAAUAGGGGAGCCGGAGGGAAACC
rnacentral:rRNA from 4 species